rnacentral:rRNA from 1 species
GUCGAGCGGUAAGGCCCUUCGGGGUACACGAGCGGCGAACGGGUGAGUAACACGUGGGUGAUCUGCCCUGCACUUCGGGAUAAGCCUGGGAAACUGGGUCUAAUACCGGAUAUGACCUUCGGCUGCAUGGCUGAGGGUGGAAAGGUUUACUGGUGCAGGAUGGGCCCGCGGCCUAUCAGCUUGUUGGUGGGGUAAUGGCCUACCAAGGCGACGACGGGUAGCCGACCUGAGAGGGUGACCGGCCACACUGGGACUGAGACACGGCCCAGACUCCUACGGGAGGCAGCAGUGGGGAAUAUUGCACAAUGGGCGAAAGCCUGAUGCAGCGACGCCGCGUGAGGGAUGACGGCCUUCGGGUUGUAAACCUCUUUCAGCAGGGACGAAGCGAAAGUGACGGUACCUGCAGAAGAAGCACCGGCCAACUACGUGCCAGCAGCCGCGGUAAUACGUAGGGUGCAAGCGUUGUCCGGAAUUACUGGGCGUAAAGAGCUCGUAGGCGGUUUGUCGCGUCGUCUGUGAAAACUCGAGGCUCAACCUCGAGCUUGCAGGCGAUACGGGCAGACUUGAGUACUGCAGGGGAGACUGGAAUUCCUGGUGUAGCGGUGAAAUGCGCAGAUAUCACGAGGAACACCGGUGGCGAAGGCGGGUCUCUGGGCAGUAACUGACGCUGA